CCGGCGAGGGGAGUGAAAAAGAACCUGAAACCGUGUACGUACAAGCAGUGGGAGCACCCUUUGGGGUGUGACUGCGUACCUUUUGUAUAAUGGGUCAGCGACUUAUAUUCUGUAGCAAGGUUAACCGUAUAGGGGAGCCGGAGGGAAACCGAGUCUUAACCGGGCGUUAAGUUGCAGGGUAUAGACCCGAAACCCGGUGAUCUAGCCAUGGGCAGGUUGAAGGUUGGGUAACACUAACUGGAGGACCGAACCGACUAAUGUUGAAAAAUUAGCGGAUGACCUGUGGCU
rnacentral:rRNA from 1 species